UCAGGAAAGGGAUGAACAUGUAAAAAAAAUGAUUAUGGGAAAAAUCGUUUUAAGUAGUCAUCGGUUGAACUUACACGAAACGUCGCACUCCCAGCCACAACAUUCUAAACCUCCCUUCUAUGCGUGGCAUAUUUGACGCUGAUAAUAACAUAGAGUUAAUUGACGCCUGGAAAAAAAUUUUUAGCCAAGACAUGUUAGAAGUUAUGGUACAUUACACUAACCUAAAAUUACAGGAGUACAGACAGAAGGCUUCCAAUGAGAAUCGCACUGAAUUUAGAGACACCAACGAAAUUGAGAUUAAUUGAUUCCUUGGUCUCUUGCACUUGACAUCUAUAUUUAAAUCAAAUAACGAAAGUAUAGAAGCUAUGUUCGCCACAGAUAGAACUGGAAGGGAAAUAUUUCGACUGGUUUUUUUAGCCCGUAGGUUUCAAGUGCUUCUGCCAUGUAUUUGAUUUAAUACACGCAACGAAAGAAAGAAGCGAAUGAAAGUUGAUUCAGCGGCUGCAAUAUCAGAAAUGUUGAAAAAACUCAACAAAAAUUCACAGGCUGCUUAUAUUUUGGGUGGAAAUGUUACGGUAGAUGAAAUGCUUGUGGGUUUUAGAGGUCACUGUCGUUAAAAUGGACAUAUCCAGUAAACUUGAAAAAUAUGGAGUGAAGGUGCAAUGCUUAGCUGAUGCCAGAAGUCAUUAUGUGUACAAGACCUAAAUAUAUUGUGGCAAAGGUAGCGACACUUCAGAGGAGCUGUUGUUUGCCUUUGCAAACCAAUCUUUGGGACCAACAGGAAUGUCAGGCGACAACUGGUACAGUUCAAUUGAACUAGUGGAUAUUUUAUUAAAAACCAAACUCACGUACGUUGGUACACUAAAAAAAAAUAAGCGUAAAGUACCUCCAGAAUUCCUUCCUUCCAGAACAAGAAAAGUAGGGUCAUGUCUCUAUGGCUUUACCAAAUCAAUAACUUUAUUAUCGAUCGUACCGAAGAAGGGCAAAGCUAUUGUCCUCCUUUCAUCCAUGCACCACAUUAAAAAUGUUGACCCAGAUACAGGAUUGCAGGAGAAAAAUGAAUACAACAACACGAAAUCAGGUGUGGAUGCCGUGGACGAAAAAUGUUCCAAGUAUUCAUGUAGCAGACGUACAAGACGAUGGCCAAUGGCGAUAUUCUAUAGAGUUGUAGAUAUGAGUGGAUUGAAUGCAUAUAUAAUUUAUCAAUCUCAUAAAAACAGAGCCGCCAACCCUCGUCUACUAAGCCAUUUGAGAGAAAGUAUCAAAAAAGUACUAGGAAUUGCAGCUGAACCACUGAACGACGAAGAGCCAAAAGUUUCACCUUGAAACGCAAGAAAAUACUGCUCACGUUGCAACCCAAGAUUACCGAGGAAGACUUUUUAUUUAUGCACAAAAUGCAAAAAGCCAAUCUGCCUGCAAUGUUGUGGGAAAAUAUGCCAAAACUGCCUCGUUGAUGUCGAUGGAAGUGGAUAAAUGAAAAAAAAAUCACGGUAAUACUACAAAGGAAAAGCUACAGUAGUUGGUUACCGAAUAUUUUCAUGGCGUAAGGUUGCCUACGCAUUUAGAAAAAAAAAUUGUUUUUUAUUAAAUAGAAUACCCUUUUUGUUUUAUGCUAAA